UGAAAGCAUCUAAGCACGAAACUUGCCCCGAGAUGAGUUCUCCCUGAGACUAUAAGUCUCCUGAAGGAACGUUAAAGACGAUGACGUUGAUAGGCCGGGUGUGUAAGCGCAGCGAUGCGUUGAGCUAACCGGUACUAAUGAACCGUGAGGCUUAACCUUACAACGCCGAAG
rnacentral:rRNA from 1 species